rnacentral:rRNA from 1 species
UACGAAGGGGGCUAGCGUUGCUCGGAAUUACUGGGCGUAAAGCGCACGUAGGCGGCUUUGUAAGUUAGAGGUGAAAGCCCGGAGCUCAACUCCGGAAUUGCCUUUAAGACUGCAUCGCUUGAAUCAUGGAGAGGUGAGUGGAAUUCCGAGUGUAGAGGUGAAAUUCGUAGAUAUUCGGAAGAACACCAGUGGCGAAGGCGACUCACUGGACAUGUAUUGACGCUGAGGUGCGAAAGCGUGGGGAGCAAACAGG